ACUUUUAUAAAAGAAUAAAAGUUUACUAGAGUCUGCUCAAAACAUCGUAAUAGAAACAAAACCAGACAUACCGAAAACAUCUUCUGUUCCUUGAAUGAAUGACAGGGGUCGGGGAGAAGUUCCGGUUUACUCUGUACUCAGAGUCAGCAACUGAAAAUAUAACGGAUCUCUCAUUCAUAAAGCACGACUCCUGUGCCUAUGGAAAGCGGGUAAGCAAAGUUUCGAAGUUCUCCAAAGAAAAAGGAAAAAAGGGUUGAUGCUCAAAUUUAGGACUAGAAAGAAAUGAGAACAUCUGUGAUGUCGAUCAGUGAUGUGAAAAUAGUACAUGGAAAUCAAGCAAGUAAAAAUGAGAAGAUCUAUCAGAAUUGUUAACACGGUUACUUAUGCUAAAAUCACCUCCAUUGAUGAAAAACCUAAUCACUAAGAAUAUUAUAUGUGAUUUAAAGGCCACUGUACAGCUAUUUUCUGGCUCUGAAGGACCCUCACGAGAUAUUAAAUCUGUUGGCACCUUGAUCUUGGACUCCCUGGCCUCCAGAACUAUGAGCAAUAAAUUACUAAUUCUAAGGGAUUUUGUUAUAGCAGCUCAAAUGGACUAAGAUGAAUCGUCUAAAAUCUAAGCAUUUUUUUACUUGACUAAACACUUUCUAAAUUUUAUUGAAACACGUUAUUGUAAUUUAACAGUGUAUUUGGACAUUUUAAAAUAAGCAUGUUUAUGUUUGAUGUCGGAAUUCUCUGUUUCUGAAGUAGUGAAAGUUUUAGAAAGAAAUUCAAGGGAGAUAUUAGCAUAUGAUAGUCUUGUUUACUUCCAAUUAACACAGAAAUACUUUUUUUGUAACAAACACUAAAAAUAGUUAAACAUUAUUAAUCGUUUUUGCCAAUGUGUAUCUUUGUAAACUGGGAGUUAAAACACAACAUGUGUUUCCCCACUCUUCUCUUUCAUAGUGUAACACUGUGAUUUUGUACUAUGAAAAUUUAUUAUAUUAAAGCCGACUUGCUUUUUAAAAGUAGAUUAUUAUCUUGAUCUUUUACAAGAUCUUUUACUAGACUGUAAGCAUCAUGUUCAUUUUAUUCACUAGCACAGGCCUGGCAUCUGGUACAGAGCACAGCAUAUACUAGCAAGCUCAGUAAGUACUUCUCACAUGAGCGAUUGUUUUGAUUUAUGAGGACAUGGUGAUGACUGUUUUCCUCUCCCUAUUCCUUCCUCAACUUCCUUCUUCUUGUGUGUCUUUCACUUUACACGCUUCCUGUUCUAUUGUUUUGGACAAUGUCUUGCUCUCUGUCCUUUUUUUCUGUCACUGAUGUGUCUUACUCUUUUUCUCUUUCAGAAUAUCUUUCUUUACCC
rnacentral:lncRNA from 1 species